rnacentral:rRNA from 1 species
UACGUAGGGGGCAAGCGUUGUCCGGAAUCAUUGGGCGUAAAGAGCGUGUAGGCGGCUUGGUAAGUCCGCUGUGAAAGUCCAGGGCUCAACCCUGGAAUGCCGGUGGAACUGCCAAGCUAGAGUCCGGAAGAGGCGAGUGGAAUUCCGUGGUGUAGCGGUGAAAUGCGCAGAUAUCAGGAGGAACACCAAUGGCGAAGGCAGCUCGCUGGACGGUACUGACGCUGAGACGCGAAAGCGUGGGGAGCAAA